UUACGACCACAUCACGCUGAAACAUCAGAUUCCGUACGAUCCUCGAAGUUAAGCAACGUCGAGUCUGGUCAGUACCUAGAUGGGUGACCACUAGGGAAUACCAGAUGCUGUAAG